AUUGAACGCUGGCGGCAUGCUUUACACAUGCAAGUCGAACGGUAACAGGCCGCAAGGUGCUGACGAGUGGCGAACGGGUGAGUAAUGCAUCGGAACGUGCCCAGUCGUGGGGGAUAACGCAGCGAAAGCUGUGCUAAUACCGCAUACGAUCUAUGGAUGAAAGCGGGGGACCGUAAGGCCUCGCGCGAUUGGAGCGGCCGAUGUCAGAUUAGGUAGUUGGUGGGGUAAAGGCCCACCAAGCCAACGAUCUGUAGCUGGUCUGAGAGGACGACCAGCCACACUGGGACUGAGACACGGCCCAGACUCCUACGGGAGGCAGCAGUGGGGAAUUUUGGACAAUGGGCGCAAGCCUGAUCCAGCAAUGCCGCGUGCAGGAAGAAGGCCUUCGGGUUGUAAACUGCUUUUGUACGGAACGAAACGGUCUGGGUUAAUACCCUGGGCUAAUGACGGUACCGUAAGAAUAAGCACCGGCUAACUACGUGCCAGCCGCCGCCGUAAGAC
rnacentral:rRNA from 1 species